AUUUAGAAAUGAAUGCUAAUACCUGAUAUUAUGAUUUUAAGGCAUCUUAGAAUUAUGAAAGCUAUAAGCACUGUGAGAGAGCUUUGCGUCCCAUUAGCUAGUUGGAGAGGUAACAGCUCACCAAGGCGAUGAUGGGUAGCCGGCCUGAGAGGGUGAACGGCCACGAGGGGACUGAGACACGGCCCUUACUCCUACGGGAGGCAGCAGUGGGGAAUAUUGGACAAUGGACCGAGAGUCUGAUCCAGCAAUUCUGUGUGCACGAUGAAGUUUUUCGGAAUGUAAAGUGCUUUCAGUUGGGAAGAAAGAAAUGACGGUACC
rnacentral:rRNA from 1 species